CAGACAGGAUCUUAGCAUCUGAAUUUUACCUUGGGCUUAGGUUCUGAACUUAAGACAGCAGAUGUGGGGUGAAGUAUUAUUGCACUGCUCUAAAUCCUGGUAAAUGUCUGGCACUUGGGAGCUGCAACCUUGGGGUCGAGGGAAGAUUGUUAACCAACUCUUCAGUACUGCUACAUUACACAUUUCCAAAUUGUUGAAAAAUCUGAUGGAAAUGAAGGUUCUUCAGACCUGUUGAUGGCAUAUUGAAUUAAUGUGAGGGAUGGGGAGGAACACCCUGAAUUGAUUGACCAUCGUGAACCUUCUCCAUGAGGAUCUCAUUAUGAAGUAGGGUUUGAAAAUAAUUUGCAAAGCCAUCAGGGCUGACAAAUCCACCUUGCUUAAAAAACAUUUUCACUGAGAAGGAGGAGUGAACGUUUAAAUAGUGCCUCCCAUGGGCCAGGUACUGUGCUAGCAACUUUUUACAAGUAUCUCAUAUGAGCCUCACAACAACUCUAUUACAUGUAGAUACAGUUUUAAUAAUCAGUGAUCUAUGUUCUCUCCCUUCAUCUCUCUCAUCCCUAAGAAGGGAGAGUCAAAAAGUUGCCCAAGUUUUUCUUCCUGUCACAACACUAAAGAGGAUAAAGACAUCUCUGUGUUAUACCAAAAAUAUCUUCAAGAAAAUAAAUGAGUAUUUGGAUGCUCAUUGCUUUAAGAUAUGGUACAUAUUGGGAAAUGAUCAUGAGGAGUAAGGAAGAAAAUCCUUAAAAUGGAGCCUUCCCAAAGAAGAACAGGCUACUUUGGAAGAUGUUGCAUUUCCCUUCCCUGGAGUACUUCAAAUAAAUGAUGAUUUUUCAGCUAUAUUUUAGAGGAU
rnacentral:lncRNA from 1 species